GCAAGCUGUAACUUGAGUAAACGUUAAGAUAUCUUGAUGAAACUUGGCACCAUAGGAAGGUUGCUUUCGAAAAUGAGCAAAAUCGGACCACUGCCACGCCCACAAAAUGGCGAAAACCGAAAACACAUAAAGUGCCAUAACUAAGCCAUAAAUAAAGCUAUGGAAAUAAAAUUUGGUAUGAAUGAUCGCACUAUGAAGGGGCAUAUUUGGAUGUAAUUUUUUUGGGGAAGUGGGCGUGGCCCCGCCCCCAAAUAGGUUUUUUGUAUAUAUCUCGCAAACCAAUAGAGCUAUAAUAUAAACCAAACUUUCUGCAGUCGUUUUUUUAGCUAUUUCCUUAUACAGUCCAAAAAUGACAGAAAUAGGAAAAUAACCACGCCCCCGUCCCAUACAAAGGUAAGGUUGAAAAUUACUAAAAGUGGGUUAACUCAAUAACCAAAAACGUGAGAAACACUAAAUUUCACAAAGGAAAUGGCAGAUGAAAGCUACACUCAGAUUACAAAAUGAAAAAUGGGCGUGGCGUCGCCCACUUAUGGGUCAAAAACCAUAUCUCAGAAACUUCUUGACCGAUUUCAAUGAAACUUGGUUUGUAAUAGUUUCCUUACAUCCCAAUGAUAUGUUGUGAAAAUAGGCCAAAUCACUUCACAACCACGCCUACUUCCUAUAUACCAGAACUUUGAAGACGAUCUGAAUCGUUUACUUUACAAUAUAUAAAGUAAGCACUAGUGAAGAUAUCUGUGCAGAGCUUUGCACAAAUACUAUGUUUAUAGUGUGGCAGCCCCAUUCUAUAAAUCGAAAUCGGACCAUAGGUUUUUAAGGCCCCAUAUAUCGAAUACGAGGCCCUCAUAGGUGCUUCUAACCUAAUAUUAUGGUCUCCAACUUUCACUAGACUUUAUGCACUAUAUAUGACGAAUAUGUGGGUCAAAUUGUGUAUUAUUAAUAUAAAUAAAGUUAAAUAAAUAAAUUGCGAGAGUAUAAAAUGUUCGGUUACACCCGAACUUAGCCCUUCCUUACUUGUUUACCAUUCGUUUUUUUCUAUAUUUUGCCGGUAGGAACUUCUGCUGGCGUCUUAGAAUAUUCUUGUCCCAAGUGUUUUAAUUUUUUUCUUUAAUAUUAUUUUGUGAUUUUUUACUAUGCUUAUUUGCUUUUGUUUUGCCGGUGAAAGCUUUGGCUGGCGACUUAGGACUUUCUUGUCCCAAAUGGUUUAAUAAAAUUAAAUCAUUGAGAAAAUGUAUUUUCUCUAUUUUAUAAUUUCCUAUUUGAAAUAUCUAUUGUGGUCCCGAUUUUAUUUAAGAAAUUGAUUCCAAUUAAGAGAUCGUCUAUAACCGCGUAAGCGGUGUGUACUCCAGUCAAGAAGAAGAAACCAGAGUUUACCCUAAAAAAUGGUUUUCACCAAUGUUAAUGAUUCUUUGUAUUUUUGGUUGAGGUUGUGUGCUUGCUUAUGCACUUUCAUUUUGCCUCUUUGUUAUGUUUGUCGGUCUAUAAUUGGUUUACCAAUUAAAUCUAUUGCUCCUAGCUUGUUACUUGCUUUGUUUGCAUAGGCACCCCAGGUCUAUUUACAUUAGUUGGAUUGAUUGAUCCCGUUCAUUGGUUUUGGACGAUUUGAAUAUUUAGGUUUGAAUUAAAUUAAAUUAUUCUGAAAAUUCGGAUAUCUUUUGUUAACUUAAGGUUGGUUGCGUAAAAAUUUUUCAUUGUUGUUUUUUCUAAAUUGCAAAACAAAUUGGGAUCGCAUUUGGUUUGAAUAAAGUUCUUGCGCUUUAGCAAGAGCAUUUGGGAAAUCGGUAGGUGUCAAUGUAAAUAAAAUUUGGGUUUAAUGAUAAUUUAAACCUGUUGUAAAUGUUCUAAGCGCGGUUUCGUGAUUCUUUAUAUUCAAUUGUUUCGUUAUUUCGGAAUUUGUUCCAUGUGUCAUAAUGGUUUUAUUAAUUAAUAAUGUCAAUUUCUGAUUUACUUCAUUAUAGUAAUCAAUUAAGGCUUUCGAUCCUUGUCGCAUAAUGCUCAUCUCUUGAUCAGUUACAUGAAUUGGACUUCUAUCUGAAUACGCAAAAUCUAAUCUGGAAAAUUUGGCCUCCAAAUUUAAUACUGUGCCAUGAUUGGUUUAACGCCACCAAUACCUGUGAUUAUCUUGCUCGCUCUCUCUCAUUGAUUUUGGCGCCAAUGCAACAUAUGUCUUUCUGCUCUAAUUUUUCUUUGUUUUGGAAAGGCAUAUGUCACUCUGUGGUUAGCAGAGACCCCUGUAGUAGUUUUUUUUUUAAUCAGCCAUCUAUCAGUGGAGACUGUUCGAUUUAUCAUUUUCAGGGUAACCCCUUAACCUUAGAACCGUGAGUUGGGCACUCAGUGCCCAUUCUCAUUUUUGAUAUGGAAUUUCUGGGAAUUGGGCAGUCCAAUUUAACCAAAUUUCGACAUAGUGAUAAACUAUAAUAUUAGUUAUAAGUUGACAAAAUUAAGUACCUAGCUCUUAUAAUAAGAAAGUAACGGCAUUUUAUAUGGUGAGUACGCUAUACGUGACUUGGGGCACUCAGUGCCCAUAGAAUUUCUUCAUAUAUUUUGUAUGAAGAGUCGUAAUUUUCUAACGGUUUUGAUGAUUAUUGUGCAUUUCUAAUUAGUUUCGCGUAAAAUUUUCGAGUGAACAGUUGAUUUUUAGUUGUGACAAAUAUUAUUUUUUGAAAUGAGUGAGGAAUUAGCGAUUUAUUUGGCCAACUUACGUCGUGAAUUGACCGAAGAAGAAGAGGAGAAUAUUUCAAAUUAUUUGAAUGCUAAUGAUAGCGAUGAUGAUGAUGGUGGAAGAGAACCUAAAUUUGGUGAUGAUCACGAAUCGAUACCCAGUGACCAAUCGGACUUUGGAGAUGUUAAUGCUGAGGCCAUUAGAGAUCCACGUUUCGAAGAAUAUAUACAGGAGGAGACUGCUGUAUAUAUGGACCCUGACGAAUGCAGAAAAGUAUUGUGGUCAGGGAAGGAACAAUCAAACAGUAUGGUGGUCAAAACCAAGCCAAACUGAAAAACGGCGAGUGGAACUGGCAUUGGAAAUGCGUAAACAAUCAACGUCACUAUGCACGGAAAGUUUUGGAUCUAAAAGUAAUGCCUUCAUACGCGUUUUCCCAGCGUCUCUUGUUGAAGGUAUUGCUCUUGAGACGAACAGGAAAGCUAAAAGAGUAAUACAGGCAAACAUGCAUCAAACAGUUCCAAAAAAAAUGAGAUAUUGGCAAGACACAAAUGCGGAGGAAUUAUAUGCUUUUAUUGCAAUAAUUUUAUAUUCCGGUGCUGAGAAGGCAAACUUAGUUCAUGCUAAGGAUCUUUUUCACAAAACGAACAUGCCCUUUUAUAGAGCAGCGAUGUCACUGCAUCGGUUUGAACAAUUGUGCCGUUUUAUACGCUUUGACGAUUCCCGGACUCGUGCUGAGAGACUACGAUACGACAAAUUGGCGCCUAUUCGUCAUGCUUGGACAUUAUUCUUGGCGAAUUUGCCGAUACCAUUCGUCCCAAGUAAAGAAUUAACAGUUGAUGAGCAGUUGCUUUCAACAAGAAACCGAUGCAGUUUCCGCCAAUACAUUCCCUCUAAGCCUGGAAAAUAUGGCAUAAAAAUAUUUUGGCUUGUUGACGCAAAAACCAACUAUCCACUUGCAGGCGAAAUAUAUUUCUCGUUAUGCGACUCGCCAACCGAUAUUUGGACAGAGGUAUGAAUAUCACGAUGGACAAUUUUUUCACAAGCUAUGACUUGGCGGAAGAUUUGCUUGUGCGGAAUACUACCUUGGUGGGCACAAUAAGAGGCAAUAAACCGCAAUUGCCAAAAUUAUUUACAUCCUCUGAAGAAGCAAAAAAAAGGCGUCUGUUUGAAUCAGUGUUUUGUUUCUCAAAAUCAAUGCAAUUAGUAAGCUUUACAACACAUUCGAAGAAAAACGUGCUAGUGCUUUCAACUGCUCAUGCCAGCGAAUAUGUAAAUACUGUAACAAAAAAAAACACAAGUCAUACAUGAUUAUAAUGAGCAUAAAGAUGGGGUUGAUACUUUUGACAAAAUGCUACGUGGAUUCUCUGGCAAAAGAAAAACAAAUCGCUGGCCCAUGGCAUUAUUUUAUAAUAUGCUGGAUAUUGCUGGACUUGCAGCGUUCAGACUGUUUGAUCUUAGCCACCCUAUGUGGAAUACCAAUAAGUCUGAAAAGCGCAAAAUAUUUUUGAAAGAACUCUCUAUGGAGCUAGCGCAAAAGCAAUUACAAAACCGAUGCAAAACAAGAAUUAAUUCUUCAACUAAAAUUGCAAUGGACUUGAUAAAUUUCAAACGGGUUCCUGCAGUGACGAGCUCGCUUCCAACUGUACAGAUAAACACUUUGAAACGGCGGUGUGAAACCUGCAAAACUGCUAAGAUCGAUAAUGAAACAACAGCAGUUUGUGACCAUUGCCUUGUUCCGACAUGUACCAAACACUAUAUAAGGACAUGUGAAAAGUGCUAUUUUGCAAAAUACAAUGCCGAAGCCGAUACGGACUCAGACAAUGAUGAAGAUGUGGACAAUACUCCAACAACAUCUACAGCCAAUCAAAAUGCAUCAAAGAGACAGCGAAGAAUUUCACCCAUUUGAGCAGUUCGAAAUUAAAACUUUAUUUGAUUUUCAUAUUUUUCAAUAAAAAUACAUUUGUUUCUAACAAUAAACACAAGUUUCGAUAAAUUAUUUGCAUAAACAAGCGAGAUAAUGACGUUUUUGUAAAAAAAACGUCUUAAAAGUCUAAAUUUUCAAACAAAAUACAUUACUGGGCACUGAGUGCCCAAGUCACGAGAUUAAGUUGUAUAGCCAUGUCACGGUUCUAAGGUUAAUCACAGGUAUUGGUCAUUUGUUGGGUCACCGUUUCGU